UUGUUUUUUAUUCAGGCGCCAAGAAGAAAUUAUCCUUGAAAAGCAAAUAUUUUCCCGUCACGCUGGAUAAAAACACAAAGAACAAAAAAUAACCUAACAACAAAAACGGAAAAAAAAUGUAAAGUCUCAGAACUUCCUGAUGUCAAAAUAAAAGAGAAUCCUUUCAUUUUUUUGUGUUUGGUUCACUGUGAAACAACAAACCGUAGAAAAAAGGAUUGUGGAACAACAGGUUGCGCACAAAGAAAAAAAAAAUAAACUUAAAAAAAUCGUAUCUUUUGUAUCAAAAGAAAAAAAGGAAGCAGUUAAGGUUUACUCAAAUAAGCUCUGUAGCUAAGGAAAAACAGGACCAGUUUGUUUCAAGAUAAAAUGGAGAAUCAUCCAUUUUCGGAGAAGUUCUUUAAAUAGAAUUUCUUAAAACCAGUCAGGACUUCUUCUUAAUGCAGAAUAUAAAAAAAAAUAUACAAAACACAGUCCUGAUGCUGCUCUCUGGUGGAUUUCUGGGGAUGUAAGAAAGUUCUCUUCUUUGGUUCUUUGUGUGCGCCUUCGUUUGAUAAAUUCAUGUAAAUUACUUUAGGGGGUACGGAACGUAUACAUUAGCUCACCGUUAAUGAUAUACCGAAGGUGUAGCUCCUUCUUCUUUUUCUUGGCAACUUCCUUGGGCAACAGGAAUAAGAAAAAAAAAAAAAAAAAAAAAACAAAGCCAGAAAACAGAUUCUACCCAAGGACAUCUUAAGCCCUGACUAGGAUAUCCUUUAUUUCAUACUCUGUGCAGUUUGAAAUAGAGCACCCCCAACAACGUAGGAAGAAAAAAAAGAAUUACCAUGUAAAUUGCCCACGAAAAUUGAGAAAACGAACGAACCUCCAUCAAAUACAAAAAUCAAAAGCAAACAGGAUGACAAAGAAAAAAAAAACUGAAACGAAAAAAAAAAAAAAUUAAUCAAAAAGAAAAACGAUAAAAAAAAACAGAAUCGUGCAGUGAUUACAAAAUACAUAACAAACAUUUUGGCGCCAUCUAAAAUAGGAAAAGUUUAACAACAACAAGAAAAAAAGAAAGAAAAAAAAACUUAUAACAGUAAUCGAGAUUUGCGACGGAUUCGCCAUCAGGGUAUUUUUUAACCACCCCCGCAUCCCAACUUCAAAAAAAUAUUUUUACAAAGGCUAAAAAUUCAUUAAAAGAAUGUUUGAAACGGAUUUGUGUCUAUAAGGACUGAGUCGGGAUUUUUUCCAGGAAAGCAACAAAAAAAAAAAGAAAAGAAAAAAAACAUAACCAAAGAGAGACAAAUUGGUAAAUUAUUUAAAAAGUUAUCACGCAAAUUUCGCAGAAUCCAUAUCAGGAGCGGAUAUUGUCUUUUUUUAAAUCUUUAAGGACACAGUGCGGGCAUACUCAAUUUUCAAAAUCUCGAAUCGAACUUUUGACCUCAAGAUUUUCAAGUUAAUAAAGGUCUUAAGGACAUUAAUGAUAUUGGCUUCGUCUGUCCCGAGUGUAGAAGUUUAUAACAAAAGGGGUCAUAGAGGGUCAACUGGACCCAUUGUCCCCUCAAAACCCGUUCAUGGAUAUUUGUUGCCCUUUUUGCAAAAAUAUUUUCGUAUUCGUACACAAUAUGCCAUCGCCACCACACAAUCACCACUUAGCAAAAAGUACAAGAAAAGGACAUUGAAGGAGAACAACACCAUUUAAGGUUUUUACAUUGUACCAGUACCACUCGAGCAAUCUGAUUAAAUAAUAUUUAUUGGA